rnacentral:rRNA from 1 species
AUGUACCCAGUUGCUUGGGCUGUGGUGGAGAAAGAAACCAAUGAUAGCUGGAAGUGGUUUAUUGCUCUGUUAAUCAAAGACUUGGAUAUUAAUGACCAAGGGGCAGUUCGGUUUUCAUUUCUGGUCAGCAGAAGGUAA